AGGAGGGAACUGCGGGGCCCUCGCCCGCCCCUCUGCUUCCCGCCCGCUCUCUCGGUGUCGUCUCAGCGCGUUCCCCUGCCCUUGCGGAAGUCAUUAAAACAUGAAACUUAAAGAGAACUAUCAUCAUGUCUUCAAAUUUAAGAUCUGGAAAAAAUAGAUGAAACACAUCUUUGAUAAAUUAUUUGGGGUAAAUGAAAAUCUGUAUGUGGCUUCAUCCCAGCUAUCAAAUGCCCAGCGCAUGGGGUGCACUUGUGAUUUUUAAGAUGCCGCAGCACUCGACUUGGUGCUAGGAAUCCGAACUCUGGUCCUCAUGAAUGUAUUUGUGUUCCUACCAGACUCUGGCAGAGGUCAAGAUGACAUCAAAGUUGGAAUUCAUCUGCCUCAGCCUUCCAAGUGAAGCAUGAAUUGAUGACUUGCCUCUGAAACCCUAAAUGAAGAAUGAUGACCGGGCCAGCUAAGUAUCCACCAGGCCAUCCAGGGCACUGACAAUCAUGAAGAAGUGCAAAUGCUGACUCCCACCUGGCUGCAGAGGAAUCAAAGCCCUUAGCUUUCUGGCCUCUCUUCAUUCCAGCAAGGUUCCUUCUCUCUCCACUCAAUCGCAGUCAUCAUUUAAUCGCAGUCAUCAUUUAAAGAAGCCACUUCCCGUGUUUACAAAAGGUGCAUUUGGGUUAUCUCUACUUGAAUACCUGUUUUCACAUCUUCAAGCAAGAGGAAUCUUAUUGUUCCAGCAUGCUGGGGUUGCCCUGUACAUGAAGGAGAGAGAACGACCCCACGCAGCCCGUUCGGCGAGUUUUAUACAGUUUUCAGAACAGCAGCCAUGAGGCACAAUGUGGUCGGCAGAACAGUGUGACUUUCAAGCUGAUUGGUCUUAGGGAAUGAGGUGGCAAGGACUUCCCUUGUCUGUAGGUGGUCAACAGUCUCGAAAUGUGUCUAUGUGCUCUGGGCCUCCUCCAUCCACAGGUGGCCGAUGGUUGGUUCCUCACCCCUUCUGGAGGGGAGGGGUGCCUAUGUGCCUUUUGACCUUUCUCUAGGGGAAGGGUCUGGUGGAAUUUUCCAAAGUUCCUGAGCUGACCUCUUCAGUGUAAACAGACCUAGUAUUGCUCUGUGUUGCAGUGACCCUGUACACACAGAUCUGGCUACCGACAGUCAUAUUAAACAUGGCACAUAACAAUACAUAGCACUUGACUGUUGUGUGUAAUUUUAUAAAACCACGCUUGCUCCUUGCCCGGUGCUGUGGCUCCCUCUAUGCUAUGAGAUCAACCGCUGCCAACAGCCGUCUCACGCAACCCCCAUGGCUAGCUUUGCCAAACUGCUCCAUUUUCACCAGCUCUGCCAAGCCACCAGCUCUGCCACUUUCCCAUGGACUCUGGGAACUGCGAUCCCUCUUCACUGGCCAACCACCCCGAGGCUAGCUCUGCCAAACCUCUAACAACCACCCAGGCUGUGCCCUUUCUCCUGCCCACUUGAGUUACCACAGAUGGAAAACACUAGACAGCCUUAAUAUUUUAAAACCAGCCAGAUAACUCAACUGCUGGGUGCAGAGGCUGUUGCUCUAAAUGCAUCGGUUAUCCUAUCUGGGAAUUCCACUGAUGGCCGAGGCUGCCACUGGCUCUGCUUGCUCCCAGGCCAUAGUCCUAGUCUUUGCUCCCCGAUCCAAAGCCUGGCUGCAAAGCCCUUUCUCCAUCUCUUUCCUUCCUCUUCCUCCUGGGACCCAGGAAUCCCACCUUUUUUCCUCCGUCCAAUGAUUAGCUUCUGCUGUCUUUAUUGACAUAAUCAAGAAACAUUUAGUGAAAUUCCAGCACUUGGGAGGCAGAGUUUUUGCUUGCAUUUGGUGUUCCUCCUGAUGGCAACAGGGGCUACGAGGAGUGACCAGCAUAUGUGAUCAAUGUAUGUAAAUACAGCCUGGAGAAUGCAUAACAAGGGAACUGCCCUGGUGUAUGCUUCAUGGCUGCCUGUGAUUAAGUCAUACACAACUAGCUGACAGAAUGAGUCCUGGACAGGUCAGAGGAGGGAGCACUCCCAGAACCCGGAAAGGGGAGCACUCCCAGAACCCAGGAAGGGGAGCAGUAGCCAGCUGCUAGUCUGACAGGAGCCCACGACCAUCUGCCAGAGAGGAACAGCAUUCCCAGACACUGGUGCUGCUCCUGCAGCCUCCUCCCCUCCCUCUCCCAGCUCCUCCUAGCACCUCCUUCACUUGAUACCAAUUGGAAGGGAAUCUGUUUGUACAGUCCGUGUGAGUCAGCCUUCCAAGGCUCCCAGUGGGAUGAGAAACUCCCCCUCGGAGCUGGGGAGAUGCUCAGUGAAUCUGAGCACCCGUGUAAAAGUCAGACAUGGCCACAUGUGCCUAUAACCCCUGGGGACACAGACAGGCAGAUCCCAGGUCUUAGGUCCUGUGAGAGAAUCUGCUCCCAAUAACCAGCAGGCAGGUAGUCUCAGCGUGACGUCCGAGCUGUAGAUGAGGCAGCGGAUACACAGCUUGACAGUUUCCAUACAGACAGCAUCUGAAAUGGGGGUCCUUGGGGUUUCCGUCAGGAAGCAAAUAACCACGUCUAAUCAGCACUUAACAGUGUGCAAACAGCACUUCCAAACCAAGUGAAAGCUGCCAAGCGAUUUGUUCUCUUAAGCAGUUUAUGCUUUCUCUGGUGCUAUUCACUCAGCAAACAAAGAUAACAGUGAUAACACUUGCUUUCCACUGUUCUCAAUUCAUUAUCUUCUCGAUCCAACUGAAUAUCAAUGAUACAAUUGAAUUAAAAGUCUUGUUUGCUUUUGGCAUGUCAAGUAACCUAUGAAAUGAUUUGAAACAAGUAAAUUUGUUUGUUUUCAUUCACUGAAGAUACCAUAACAGAAUACCUCACAUGGAAAUACUUUAAAAAAAAAAAUGUAUGUUCUCCCAUGGUUUUGGAGACCAGAAGUCCAGGAUCAAGAGGAAGGCUGCCCCUUCCCUCUGAAGGUGCAGAAGAUAAUGAGCUCCUUUGGCCUGAAGUGACACCUCUGAGGUGACACCCCUGGCUUGGAGCAGCAUGACUCCAAUCUGUACACAGCUCUCUGUAUGCAUGUUAUCUCGUCUUUUAUAGGAACUCCAGUCAUAGUGAACUAUGGCAUGUGAUGGCAAAUUCAUGGACCAGCCCGACUCCAUUUAAGAUUAAAAGCCAUCUUGUUACAAGUUCAUUUCUGUUUUCUGUAGAAUUUGGAUUUGGAUAGGUCUUGACCCAUAUUCUGGAGUUUGACAUGCUCCACACCUGAUACCCUGACCGCCACCCUGAUAAGAUGUUCUGUCAAAUAACUUUGAAAUGUUCUGCCGAGGUUCUAUGUAACCCCAAAACCUUGAAAAACUCCCUAGCAUUGCAGUUUGGAGGACUAUAUCAGCUCCACUUUUUCCUAUGUUCAAUGUUAUUUUUCUCAAACCCCACUUUAGGGAGAUAGGCCUGUCUGACAGAAAAUAAAACUGUGUUUAUCUUGACAAAGG
rnacentral:lncRNA from 1 species